GUGACGUCAUCCACCCUUAGUCCCUCCCCAGACGCUGAGUCGGAGAAGCCACACAAUCCAACUUUCAGACUACAACAGUGAUCUAUCUGGUAACGCAGUCAUCACAGUUUGUGGAUGGCUUUACUGUUUCAAAUGAUCCUCCCAUAGUGCCGGCCUACUGAGGUCCUAAGAUGAAGAAGGCUGUGAUGUGCUCCCCACAGAAAACACCUGUGCUUGUUAUUACUUUGAAAUAUGAUCCCUGGUGGAAUAUUGGAUAACUUCCCAAGGAAUGAGUUCUUUGCAGAUGCUACUAUCAAGCCAUGAGAUUUAAAAGACAAGAGCAGCAGAGCCACAAAGCACUGGAGGAAGACUGCAGCCUGUCUUUUGAGAAAAGGAGGAUAUGAUCUUUUCAGGAUUUUAAGAUGCCUUGUCUAAGACUGACAUAAA